AUGGACCUUGGGCGCCUUAACUAUGGGAUCAUUACUCUCCUUCCCCAAGUCCGGGGGGCCUCGGACAUUCGCCAGUUCCGACCGAUCAUGGUGAUCAACGUGAUCUUCAGGAUCCUGGCUAAAGGGUACGCCAAUAGGGUUACCCUUGUAGCGGACUUUUUCACCCACCCCAACCAAUCCGCCUUCAUCCAAGGCCGGUUUAUUUUGGAUGGGGUGCUGGUCUUCCACGAUGUCCUUCAUGAAGUCCGAACCAAGCACCACAAUGCGGUCUUCCUGAAGCUCGACUUCCAUAAAGCCUAUGAAACUGUCCAUUGGCCCUUCCUUCAGGAAGUUUUGCUCUGCAAGGGCUUCGACGACCGGUGGGUGACCCGAGUUAUGCAACUCGUCACUUGCGGUCGGACGGCGGUUAACAUUAAUGGUGAGAUCGGGUCUUACUUCCCCACCCUAUGA
rnacentral:rRNA from 1 species